AACCAUUCUCACCUGCGGCUAGACCUGCGGAAGGAUCAUUAAUAAAUGUUACUUCGGUAACUUAAUUAAUCCCUAACACCUGUGCAUCUUGUCGCUUCGGCGUCAUUUUAUAAACAUCAGUGUAAUGAAUGUAACGUAUUAUAACAAAUACAACUUUUAACAAUGGAUCU
rnacentral:misc_RNA from 1 species